UUCUCCUACGGGGGGCAGCAGUGGGGAAUAUUGCACAAUGGGGGAAACCCUGAUGCAGCAACGCCGCGUGAGUGAAGAAGUAUUUCGGUAUGUAAAGCUCUAUCAGCAGGGAAGAAAAUGACGGUACCUGACUAAGAAGCCCCGGCUAACUACGUGCCAGCAGCCGCGGUAAUACGUAGGGGGCAAGCGUUAUCCGGAUUUACUGGGUGUAAGGGGAGCGUAGACGGCAUAGCAAGUCUGAUGUGAAAGAUCAGGGCUCAACCCCGGGCCUGCAUUGGAAACUGUUAAGCUGGAGUACAGGAGAG
rnacentral:rRNA from 1 species